rnacentral:rRNA from 1 species
GGAUUGUAGUCUGCAACCCGACUACAUGAAGCUGGAAUCGCUAGUAAUCGCGAAUCAGAAUGUCGCGGUGAAUACGUUCCCGGGUCUUGUACACACCGCCCGUCACACCAUGGGAGUCGGAAAUGCCCGAAGUCAGUGACCCAACCGUAAGGAGGGAGCUGCCGAAGGUGGAGCCGGUAACUGGGGUGAAGUCGUAACAAGGUAAC